AAUAAUAAAUGUUGGAUUAUUUUUUUUUCUUCUGCAGAAAAGCUGGGCCAUCUGGUGAAGUGGAAUUACAUUAUCCAUGCACAUAUACGCUCCUCCUGCUUCUCCCAUCUUGGCGCCGUGCUCAAGCUGACAGCAAGGAUCUGCUGAAGGAUAUACGAGGCUGAGGGGGAUUAAGGUGAACCCCAAGCUGGCUACUGUCCAAAGUAUUCUUUGCCAAGGGUAAAAGUGGAAACCUUCUGCAAAUGAAGAAGACACUCCAUAAACGCAAACAUAGCAGACAGUCAGCUCCAUCCAUCACUGGAGGGGCUCACAGGACCCCUGGGUGCCCCCUGGCAAGUUCAAACCAGCAAUCCCCUCACUGGUGGAGCACAAAGAAGGUGACCCCGAGCUACGGCAAGGAGAAGGGUAAU